UGCGAGAGUUGAACUGCCUCGACUUCAAGGACUGGAGUAUGUGACAGCUUCAUCUGCUGAAUCAUGUCCGUCUUGCCCCAGUUCUGCAGAGGAGAGGCCUGCAAAUCCACAUUUUUUUUUGUUUUUCUGCCCAUCACAUUUUCUUCUUCACCUUCCCUCCCUCCAGAAGCUGUGCAGACCCGGGAAGGGUGCUUGCCCCAGCCUCGUAGCAUCAGCAUCCAUUGCCUGGUGGCACUGAUUCCCCUGCACCGGCUCUUCUGGGGAGAAGCAGGGAGCGUAAAGGGAUGUUGGCAACCCUCCCACGACUCCUAAAACACUUGGCCACGCUUGGAGGUAUUGCUUAUACUACACUAAAGAAUAUAUGGAAAAAAAGAAAAAGAAGAAAAAGAAAAGAAAAAGAAAAAGAAAAAGGAAAGAAAAAGAAAAAGAAAAAAGAAAAAGAAAA